AAGACUGGCCUCCCCAAGCAAGAGGGAAUUCUGCAGCAACAUCAGCUCUCUUAUCUCUCCAGCCUGCUGCUCACCCUAUAGAUUUUGGAUUUGCCAGCCUCCAUAAUCAUUUCUGACUAGAGAAGAACUAUGGUCAAGACAUUCAAAGCUGUGCCUGCUUACUCCUAAUGAAGAGGAUCCUGGGCCUCAUCUCUUUAUAAGAAGGGGUGUUUUCUAGAAGUUAAAAUUUCCCCUCCUUAGUUGAUUAAUAUAUUUCCAAGUAUAUCAAAAGGACUUGGAAUUGGUUUUAAAAAUUUCAAGCUUAGGAAACCCUUUGAAAAGCAGAUUUUAAGACAGGAUUAGAUUUGCAGGAGAUUUACUGAGGGAAAUGCCUGUGAAGAAUAAACAGAGGUAGCAGAAGUAGGCAAGGAGACCCUUUAGAUACUGAUGCAGGUCUGACACCUGUGAAAGGAGUGGAGUGGGGAAGGAAUAUCCAUCAAGAAGAGUCUCAACUCAGCACAGCUCUGAGAAAAUUUCAGGCAAGCUAAUGGGGAGUCCCUGAGUCAAAAUUACCCAUAAGAGGGGUCCUGCAUCCCACAGAAAUUAUCCAGCAUUCAUGUGGAAAUGUGACUCUGAAUAACCAAAACUGUCUUGAAAAAAAAAAAAAGUUGGAGGACUCACUCUUCCCAAUUUCAAAACUCAUCACAAAGCUACAGUUCAAUGGGGGAAAGAAUAGCCUUCUUAAAAAAAUGGUUCAGGAACAGAUGGAUACCCAUACCAAAGAAUGAAAUUGGACCUCUGCCUCAUACCAUAUAUAUAAAAAUGUACUCAAAAUGGAUUACAGUGCAGAAUGUAAGAGCUAAAACUAUAUACAUCACUGUAAAUAUGUUAUGAUCUUGGGUUAGAGAAAGGUUACUUAGAUAUGACACAAAGUACAAGGGAAAAAAAGAAAAUUGGACUGCAUCAAAAUUUUAAACAUUUCAGUUUU